CUUGAAACACGGACCAAGGAGUUUAUCGUGUACGCAAGUCAUUGGGUUAGCUAAACCCAAAGGCGAAAUGAAAGUAAAUAAUGUUUGAAAAUUGGUUUUUUUGCCAAUUUUUUUACAUUUAAGGGAAGACAGAAAUCAUUUGUAGAUUAUAAAUUUUUUUUUUUUAGAAAAAUUUAGUUUACAUUCUGGUUUCUCGCACUCCCUGGGCGCUUGCUCUCGCUUUGCGAGUCGAUGCGCACCCAGAGCGUACACGCUGAUACCCGAAAGAUGGUGAACUAUGCCUGGCCAGGACGAAGCCAGGGGAAACCCUGGUGGAGGUCCGCAGCGAUUCUGACGUGCAAAUCGAUCGUCGGAGCUGGGUAUAGGGGCGAAAGACCAAUCGAACCAUCUAGUAGCUGGUUCCCUCUGAAGUUUCCCUCAGGAUA
rnacentral:rRNA from 1 species